rnacentral:rRNA from 1 species
GACGAACGCUGGCGGCGUGCUUAACACAUGCAAGUCGAACGGAAAGGCCCUGCUUGCUUGGUAUUCGCGUGGGGAACGGGUGAGUAUAACGCGGGUGUACUGUCCUCUACUUUUUGGUAUGACUGGGGAAAUGGGUCUAUUACAGCAUAGGAGCCCUCCUUAUUGUGGUGGUUGGAAAGUUUUUUCGGUGUAGGAUGAACUCGCGGCCUAUUAGCUUGUUGGUGGGGUAAUGGCCUACCAAGCCAGCGACGGGUAGCCGGCCUGAGAGGGUGGACGGCCACAUUGGGACUGAGAUACGGCCCAGACUCCUACGGGAGGCAGCAGUGGGGAAUAUUGCACAAUGGGCGCAAGCCUGAUGCAGCAACGCCGCGUGGGGGAUGACGGCCUUCGGGUUGUAAACUGCUUUCGCUUGUGACGAAGCGUUUGUGACGGUACCGAGUGAAGAAGCACCGGCUAACUACGUG